GAAUCUCGAAAGCCUGUCUCAGUUCGGAUUGGAGGCUGAAACCCGCCUCCAUGAAGUUGGAUUCGCUAGUAAUCGCGCAUCAGCCAUGGCGCGGUGAAUACGUUCCCGGGCCUUGUACACACCGCCCGUCAAGCCAUGGGAGUCGGGAGUGCCUGAAGUGCGUGAGCGCGAGCAGCGCCCUAGGGCAAAACCGAUGACUGGGGCUAAGUCGUAACAAGGUAUC
rnacentral:rRNA from 1 species